AUGUUAUUUUUUUUGGCCAAGCUAGGCUUUAGGUCACACUCCGGUGAGAACUCCAGUAGGUUCCGGCAACCUACGAUUUGGUAGAAUGGUAGAUGAAAAUUGAAGAUUUGGAGCCUAGCCUUUAGAUACAACAAUAAUGCGAAAAGCAAAGAACAGUAUGUAUAUAUGUAAUAUUGGGUUUUAAACUCUUUAUUUUCUUGAGUUUGGUAGAUGAGUUUAUGAGAUUGUUUGUUUACAUUAUGAAGAACAUUGAAAGGUCAUGAAGGCCGCUACAUAGGUAAAGGCGUCGUAUAGGUUAGGGCAACAACUGGCAACGGCAUACCGGGAAGACAAACAGACGCAGACGCUGCAUCAUCUUCUUCAACGGUUUAUAUGUAAUCCGUCGCGAAAGAGAAUAUUGUUUUAAUUGGUGAUGUGGGCUAGGAACUGCGAAAGGACUGGUUUAUCUCCACGAGUACUUAAGAGAAGCUAGAAAUGAAGGCAGGCGUGGUGGACAUGGCGAUCAUGGGUUCGGGCGUGGUGGCUGUCUCGGUCACAUUUUAUGUUUGUGAAUUUCUUAAACAUGUUUCUGUACCUGAACUGUUACAUUUUUUAAUAGACAACAAGGUUCUCUGCUGCAUCAGAUGCUACACGGUUAAAUCAGGCAACUUUUGGAAUGGGUUUGGUUUGGGUGUGCUAAAACACUUUUUGGCAAAGAGCUUUAAGGCAUCUGGAAGCAUUGGGACGGUUUGGAACAUAUACUUCAUAUCUAAUUACUAACGGUAGCAGCAUUUUCUUCUCGAGGCCUGAAUAUAAAAGAUUAUAAAUUUUCCGACGCAGAUUAUUUGAAACUUGAAGCACCAGAUUCUUUGAACUGGCCUUUUUGGUCUCCAAAUGGAACCGAUGACCCUAAUUAUGAAGAUAUGGAUCUUUGAGGUUUUCCAAUACCCUAGGAAGUUUGGUAUCAACAUAACGUGGAAGCGUACUUUUCAAAAAAAAAAAAAAAA